GGCCAUUCGUUCGUGCUUUCACUUGCUUGGAGUGAUACCGAGACUUCGAGUGGAGAACUUCGAAUUGUUUUUGCAAGAACGACAGCAACAACACCUCUUUAUUGAGAUUCGAGGUGGCUAGGAAUUACCCAAUGUGAGCUAAUAUGCUGUCACACUAUGUCAAAACAUUGGCAAACUGGCUGACAACGCUGCUGCUUAAGCAUCAUUUGUGCCUCAAAGAUACUGGCGUGUGAUUCCACGUGCAACGGUUUCUGGUCUGCCAAAGCGUGAAAGAGAAAAGCAGGAAUUGGACCUGGCCUGCGACCCAGCGCCACCGAGUAUGCCAGGAACGUCCAGCGCCGCAAUUUCGAUCCAUGCAUGACAUUGGGCCCACAAUCAAGCAUAGUAUUGGGCUAUCACCAUGUUGUUAUAACGCGUUAAUUGAAGGAAGUGUGAAAGUUCAAAUAACGUAAGGCAGCGCGAGCGGUGUUCAACCUGUGGCUUUCCUUGAUGAAAACAUGAAGCUCCAACCAAAUGCGACACGACACCAUUCUACGUUAUAGCAUUAGUUUGAGUGACGAGAAGUUGGUUUCGCUACAACAAAUACAGUCGGAGGACGAACAAAGAUGUCGCCGUUGGGACACAAACCUCUGUAAAUAGCGGUCGUGUAGUAUCGUGUCUUACCGUGCGCUUAUCGUAAAAUUCACUUCGGGCGAAAGGGUGUCACUGUGCCGAGGACCUUCAGUAAGUAAGCGCUUAGUUUUCGUAAAGAAGCGCGUGACGACGGUGACGGGAUGCGCUAGACGAGAGGAUUUCACAGAAUAUAUGUAUUCUUUUAAAAAGUUUCAUCGUUUAGUGCGCACACAGUGAUUGUACAGCAUUUAAGGACAUACUACUACUACUACUACUACUACUACUACUACUACUACUACUACUAAUAAUAAUAAUAAUAAUAAUAAUAAUAAUAAUGUAUUGACUUGAGUACAAUAUAAUGCAAGAAUCAGGGCCUUGGGCUUGAACGGCAAUGCCUUCGUACCUUAAUCCUUAAUCCGCCUUCAUCCAGGUUGUUCUUAUUUAUACAAAUCCACAUUGAUUCACUUUAUGCCACCUUAAUACACCUUGCUCUAAUUUGUACGAAUAAAGUGUGGAACUCUUAUUAUUCAUCGCAUGUCAUCUGGAUUGCGAGUGUUUUAUUCUGUGAGAAAUCUUCAUUUAGUGGGUACAGUUAGUGCACGAAUUUCACUACACGUCAAUAUUCCAAGACCUAACAUAGAGAAAAUCCUCUUACUGACCGUAGGUCGUCUGCACUGCGAGUGUUGUUUUCGCCGACCGCGGCCCCGAUCGGCAGCUACAGUCAAUGAAAUUUCUUCGCUUUCGCACACGCAUUAACCAUGGACAAAUAAGCCCAGGAAAAUGCUUUGCAUUUGGGUGUUCGUCCAGCAGCAAAAGAAAGAGUGCAGAAACUCCACUGCAGUUAUCUAAAUAUCCGUAAACAUACCCCCAAAUUUCAGUUAGCCCGCCUCAAAGUUUCAAGUUUGCUCACCCCUAAAUUUCAAGUUGGCCCACCCCUAAGUUUAUGUUGGCCCACCCCCAAAUUUUAAGUUAGCCCACCCCUAAAUUUAAGACGGGCCACCCCUAAAUUUCAAGUUGGCCCACUCCCAAAUUUCAGUUUCCCCUCACUCCAAAUUUCAACUGACCGUUGUGUACAGGGUGUUUCACGUAACUUGAACCAAGGAUUUUAAAAAAUGGUUAACCGCACCUUGGAGCGACCAACGACAUAUGGAUUGGCGUCAUGUGGCGCUCCUCUCAAAAUAUCUUUUUUUACGUUCAGCUUAUUUAAUUAACAGAGAUCAAUUAUUCAAAACUUUGAAUAUUCACUUUAGGGCCAAUCGUUACGUUGUGAAGGAAGUUCAGAAACAACCGAUCCAAUUUUCUUGUGGCGACGCGCCGAUUUUUUUAGGCGCUUAAAGAAAGCCCGCGAAAUGUGAAAUAAAGCCACGUGACUGGUGAAUUAAGGAUGGCAGAAAUAAGAGCGAAGUGGAUUAAGUUGGACUCAUGUGGUUUAAGGUAGAAUAAAGUAGAUUAGAAUACUUUGUUUAGCGCAAAACGACAGACACAAGAAAGACGACAGGACAAGGCGCUACUCUCAACUGACAUCAUUUUAUUGCGUCACUCCUUUAUAGACCGCUCAAACUAUAGGAACAUGCGCAGUGAGCACCAUGUGGUAGAGCCACCAACAUCCGAUCCCAAUAGCGCACUCAUGGAUUCAUGGAUUCGCACCAACUAGCCCGCCAACGCAUUGUGCUGAAAGUAGAUUAGGUUUGUACAUAUUACAGGAAUGUGGACUAGGGUGGGUUAAGGUGGAUUCAAGUUGUUUAAGGUUGGUACAAAUUACAAUAAGGUGGAUCAAAGUGCAUUAAGGUUAGUACAAAUUAGAGCAAUGUGGAUUAGGGUAGAUUAAAGUGAAAUAAGCUUGGUACAAAUUAGAGGAAAGUGGAUUGAAGUCGAGGUUUUGACGGAAGCCCGUCUGGUCGGGAGGCAUCAUGAAGAAGGGUAAAAAGGACAAAAACGCGCCCCCAUACCGUAUGUGCCCGGUGUGAGCGAGGGCUUAGCCCGCGUUCUACGCGGCUAUGACGUCCAGGUAGCUCACGUACCGUCCCAAAAAUUACGCCACCGGCUGGUAAACGUGAAAGACAAGCUUCCAAAGACUAAGUUUCCUGGCAUCGUCUACGGGAUUCCAUGUGAAGACUGCGACUGCGUAUAUAUCGGCGAGACAGGAAAUUUCGAACAGCGCUUGAAGCAGCAUAUCAACGAUGUAAAAAAGAAAAAAAGUCGCUGUGUUCGACACUCUGUUUAGGCGUGUCGCGUUGUUGAAUUGUGGUGGCAUCCGCCGUUUGUUAGCGGUAAAUUCAUGCGUUUGCGCCGCUAAGCUCUACGACGCGUGCUCAAUUCCCAGCCACGGCGGCCGCAUUUCGAUAAUGGCAAAAUGCAAGAACACCCUCGUUACCGUGUGCUUUGAUUUUUGUGCGUGUUGAAGAACCCCCAGGGGUUAAAAUUAUUCCUGAGACUCCCCAUUACAGCGGGCCUCAUGAUUAUUUCGUGGUUCUGGCAUGGUUUUGGCACUUAGAACCCCCGAAUUUAUUUGAAUGCACUGUGCCUUCCCUCGCGAUCGGCAUGGACGAGCUCAAGAUAAUUAUUUCCCUUUUCCAAACGCUGCAACUUAAAUUACUAGUUGUGCAGGUAACGAAAGGGGCCGCGCGCUACUUUUGUGUGGUAGCAGACCGUAUUUAAUACAAGCCGCGGUCGUCGCGUGCGUUGGGAAGCGGCAGAUCGGAAAGCAGCCGCUCGAGACGUGCGCGUUAUGUUUGUUGUUUGCCCAUGCUUUCUAAGUAUCUAAGCGUGCAAGUAUCAUAACUUGUAGUGGUACCACUCUUGCAGUAUAAUAUAUGCACACAAUCAUAGGAACAUUACCUUUGCAAACAUAUUAUUGGGAGUAAUUUAAUCCCCACAACAAAUAGGCACACGUACUGUUUCAUUUAUAUGCGAUGCAGAUGGAAGCGACGCCAAACAGACCAAUGGCAAUAACAACAGUCUUCUCAGCAGUCAGCACCACCGGGACAUGUGCUUUCGUACUGCAGCGACACAGCUCUUGAGCAGCAGCAAGACACGUGUGAAACAGACUCCAGAACAUGCCUUUGUGAAGUGACGGAACCGUCAAGAAGCAGCCCAAUGGAUCUGCAGUCAUCGAGUAGUAUGACAACAGAAGUUCCUGCUGCCAGUGUGACUUAUGUUGUAAUUGAAAUAAAAGUGGCUAAAUUUCUGAA